GAAAGAAUAGGUUCUAGUGCCACCGAUCUUACAUUUGGAGAUGAUAUUGAGGAAGAUAAACGAGAAUAAUGUCGCUCAGACUUGUAUAGUAGUGUUUCAUAUGACGUCACCUUUUACAAUAAGUCUGUAAAUAUCAUAUAUACAAAUGGUUUUGUAUGCGGAAUAUGUCAUUUAGUAAUGGGGAAACAGAGAGGCAGUGUCAUUUGAUCAAAAUCAUAAUUGCAGAUGAUAUGUACCACCACCACCACCACGUAAGAACAGUUGUCUAAAACAUUUUAACUGUUGUGAUAGAAUCAUCCCCCAGCUUAGUUUUAGAUGACUAUAAUCCUUUAUCUGUAUGCCUUUCGAUUUUCAUGCCCUUUUGUUUUGAGCUUUUCAUACCAUAUUUUCUGUAGGCCUUAUCUGUAAUUAGCAAUGAGUUUUAAAAUUACAGUUUUAAGUAAAGUAUAGUU
rnacentral:lncRNA from 1 species